GUUCAGAGAUGGUUCUUCCCUUUUGGGCUGGUGUACAGGUGGUGCAUGGUUGUCGUCAGCUCGUGUCGUGAGAUGUUGGGUUAAGUCCCGCAACGAGCGCAACCCUCGUUCUAUGUUGCCAGCACGUGAUGGUGGGGACUCAUAGGAGACUGCCGGGGUCAACUCGGAGGAAGGUGGGGAUGACGUCAAAUCAUCAUGCCCCUUAUGUCUUGGGCUUCACGCAUGCUACAAUGGCCGGUACAAUGGGUUGCGAUACUGUGAGGUGGAGCUAAUCCCAAAAAGCCGGUCUCAGUUCGGAUUGGGGUCUGCAACUCGACCCCAUGAAGUCGGAGUCGCUAGUAAUCGCAGAUCAGCAACGCUGCGGUGAAUA
rnacentral:rRNA from 1 species